GACGAACGCUGGCGGCGCGCUUAACACAUGCAAGUCGAGCGAUCGACUCGGGGCUUGCCCCGAGCACGGAGCGGCGAACGGGUGAGUAACACGUGGGUGACCUGCCCUCGGUUCUGGGAUAACUCCGGGAAACCGGCGCUAAUACCGGAUGGCCUCCUGGAUCUACGGAUCCUUGAGAAAAGGUAGCUUUGGCCUCCGACCGAGGAUGGGCCCGCGGCCGAUUAGCUUGUUGGUGAGGUAAUGGCUCACCAAGGCGACGAUCGGUAGCUGGUGUGAGAGCAUGACCAGCCACACUGGGACUGAGACACGGCCCAGACUCCUACGGGUGGCUG
rnacentral:rRNA from 1 species